GCCGCGCUGCCUCAGUCGAUCGCGUCCUUCGUCUACGCGAAGGAGUACGGAGUCCACGCCGACGUGCUCAGCACGGCGGUUAUACUGGGGACGCUGGUUUCUCUGCCCGUGCUCAUCGCAUAUUAUGCCGUCCUUGGCAUCUUGUGAAGUCGAUCGUUGCGAUGAAUGAAUGAAGAACAGCACGCAUGCGUGCAUUAUCCAUGCUUAAAAUGAUGCAGUGUACACCCUGAGACGAAAGCCAGUGGGGCGUUGUUUCUGGCUGUCUAUUUUGGAACUUAUUAACUUGUUUGAGGCGGCAAAGCCAUAUAUAUAUAUUA